GAGGGGGGCGGGGCCACAUGACGCGGCGCGGAGACGGGCGGGGACCCCGGAGCCCGCGCUGGCCGCCGCGUGUUCCCGGCCCCUCCCACACCCCAGCCCCUACCUUACCCUACCCCCGUUUUGCACGAGCGCGCGCUCCUCUCCCACUCCUCCAGUCCUGUUCCCCCGCACCCUCCCUGUACCCCCGUCCCCUCCUUUCCUGCUCCCUCGCUUCUCCCGCGGCUGGGCCGUCUCAGCCCAAACUUUCACCGUUCCCCCAUUUUCCUCCCCAAAUUCAGGGUCUCCGAUCCUGCCGGGUCCACAUCAUUUCCCUCAGCUCCAACUUGGGAGGCAGGAAGCAUCGCUCCGCUUCACAGAUGAGAAAACUGAGGCUGCGCAGUUGUUACGCUGAUUCAGACUCAGAGGCUCCGGCUGGGGGUGCGGGCCCGCUCAUCACAGAGGAUGGACCCCCCAAGACUUAAUAUGCCCAAAACUUAAAUCAGCCUCCAAAAUCGCCAGUUAGGGGAGAGGCCCUGGACGCUUGCACUUUUCCCAAACCUUGGCCCGGUGCCACUGUCAACAGCACUGGCUUGGGGGUUCCCCAGGGCCUGGCAGGUGUGUGAAGAGUGGAGGCUAAGCCUCCAGGAGAAGGAAGCAGGGUGGGAGGGGAGGAGUUCCUCAGUCCUUGUCGGCGGGGUGGGGACCUGGCCUUGGCUGUCUGGAGGCCGCAGACUUUGAGGUUUUGUGACGGAGGCUGUGUGGAUUCCAGAGCACGCCUUGCUUAUUGACGGUGAAAUGCAGUGUUGACAUUUGUCCUGGUGAGAGCUCAGAAUCUAAGACUCAACAGUAAAUAUCCUUUGGUCUCUCUCUGUUGGUGGUUUUAGGGUCUUGUUUGCGAGUUUCUCCUUUAAUGCAGUGAUGUUAAACCAUUUCUCAAACCAACAGCACGGCAGGGGCCGAGGGGUGAAGACGGACACAGUGCACUGGGCUGAGCCGGGCUAGUCCUUGUGGACAGCAACCUCCCCAGUCCCCUGUCCACGGAGGACUCAAAGUCUAGCCUCUGUGUGACAGAGGGAAGCCAGGGGCUUGUGGGAAGUCAGGGAGGGCUUCCUGGAGGAAGUGACCGUUGAGUUGGAAGAUGGGUGAGAGAUAGGCAGGGAAGGGUGUGGCACACUGAGGUUACACAGAGGCUGGGGAACUGUAGUUGGCUGGGGAUAAGUCACAUGUGAGGUGGGGGUAGAAAUACAUGCGGAGAACCUGACAGGUGGUCAGGUAAAGCCGGUAGGAAUUUACUUGGUUGAUGUCAUUGAGUUGCUGGAGUGCAACCUCAGUGAGAUGUUUUGUUUGUUUGUUGUAUUCAUUUGUUUAAUAUUUAGAUUGCGCAUAUAAGUGAAAAAGUAUUUGUCUUUCUCUGACUUACUUCACAAAGCAUGAUACCUUCCAGGUCCACCUGUAUUUUUGCAAAUGGCAAUAUUUGAUGCUUUUCUUUUUAUGGCUGAGUAAUAUUCCAUCGUGUAUAUAUGCUACGUCUUUAUCCACUCAUCUGUUGAUGGGUGCUGCAGUGAGAUGUUUUAAGGUCUGGAAACUUGACUAAACAUCCCAUGGAUCUUGGCAUCUCCCUAACAAGCCAGUUCCAGCUGAGUCGGUUGUGGGCACGCCAUGGAUGGUGGCUUCCAGCAAGAGCUCAGCCACCUUGGAAGUGCCUGGCAUGCAUACCCAUUCCCUGAUUUUAUCCUCUUUUACUGAUGGGGAAACCAAGGCACAGAGGCAGCAGGAGGGGGAGAGUGAACCACAGAGGGAGUCAGAGACCUAGUUUUGGAGCAGGUCACUUUCCCUCUUGGGGACUCAGCCUCCUGACCUGUAAAGUGGCCGCCCUUGGCCAUCCUUCCCCAAAAGCAUCACGGGCACCUUUGCUAAUGGCUCUCAGGCCCUAACUGUCCACUUGAUUGGAUCAUUCCUCACUCACACCAGCCUCAUGAGGCAGGGGCUGUUACUGUCCCCUUUUACAGAUGAGGAAACUGAGGCAGGGAUGUUUAGAUGACUUUCUGAGCUCACAUGGCCGGUGAAUGGAGAGCCAGGCCCGCUGUGCUGUGGCUGCAGCAUUCGCGCCCUCCCUACCGGGCCAGCCGCCUCCCAGGGCCCUGAGGUCUGUCUCCUGGGUGGAGACAUUCCAAGCCUGCCAGUGACUGCCCUUCAAAUCUAAGUGAGAAUAGCUUUGGGAUAUGAAAAUGAUGCUUUCAGUUUCUUUUCAGAUAAAUUACUUAACUUUUCCCUCAAUCCUUUGAUUAAAAUUGAUGCUCACGGAAGAUGCGCCACAUGUAUCCAGAGGCUUCCCGGGCCGCCCAGGGUACAUCUGAGGGUCCCCUUCUGGGCCCGGCACUGAGGGAGGGGGAUGACCUCAGAGAUGUCCAUGUGGGGCUCCGCUGCAGGGUCCCGUCCCAGCCAUCUGCCUGGAGGCUCCCAGAGCUGCUGGCAGCUGGAUCUGGCCACUGUCCCGGUUUCUGGGUCCCUGAAAGGCAGGAGACCAGGCUGAGUUGGGUCCUCGUUUUCUCACCUCUCAAAUGGGCAUCAAGCAGCAGGGUAUCCUGAAGCUCAGAGGGAAUAACUCCUCAGAGGAGAGGACCCAGGGUCCCCCCACCUGACUGGUCUGAGUAUGGAUGAUGGAGAUUAUGGCAGAGGCCCCAGCUGUGUCCUCUUCCGGGACAGAGCAGCCUGGGAUGUCAGACAGUGGAGCGAGCAAGGUGGGCAGUGGGAGUGACCUGGGGCAGGGGGAGGUGUUGGUGAGAUGGGCCAGGAAGGCUUUGAAUGCUAGGCUCUGCUGUGUACGCUUUGCCUGCUCUCUUGUUCAACAGGCACCCCAAGUUCCUUUCAGGUCCUGGGUUGGAUGAGUGCUGGGGCUCAAACGUUAGUCAGAAAUGGCCCCGGCUGUGAGGGAACACACGGUGAUGGGUCAAGAAGGACACAUGGACACCUGGUGAAGGCUGAUGAGGGCUGCCAGAGUUUGGAGGAAGCCCCUCUCCCAGCCUGUGGUAGGUGUGGGGUCUGGGAGCAUCCUAGCGCUUUUGACUGUAACGGACAGAAAACCCAGCUCUGAACCAGCCCAGAAGUCCAAGCGGCCAUAUUGGCCCAUGUAGCUGAAAUGGUCUGGAGAUGCUAUGGAAAUCAGGUAUGGCUUGAUCAAGGCUGAGCAAUUUCCUGCUCUUUUUCGUGGGCUGCUGGAUCUUCGGGGUGGCAGCAGAUUGGCUCCAGCCAUUCUAGGCCUCAUCUUUAUACACAGCUAUGUGAAGAGAAACUGCUCCAGUGGCCCUUUCAGGACAGCAAGGGAUUUUCUUUCCCAGAAGCACCUGGAAAGCUUUUCCUGAUACCUCACGGGCCUGAAUGAACCUAUAUCUGUGGCCAGGAAAGUUGCCGUGUGCUGACUGGCUCAACUUGGCUUCCUCAACAAACCUUUGAGAGGGAAGAUGGGCUUCCUCUUAGAGCCCUGUAUCAGACGCCCCAUCCUGAGCCUAAAGCCGAGAGCCAGGUCCUACAGAUACGGCCGAGGGCUCUUGCUCUGUGCGCCCCGCACAUCGUCCGCGCCACUCAAAUUAAAUUUGGUGCUAAUUUGCCCGAGGGAAAAAGUGACACCAUGGACAUCAUCCUCCGUCGCCCCAUCCAAGCGGGUGGCUUUCCUGUGGCCAGUUGUGCGCUCCUACUUCUGAGAUGGUCACAAGUUUGGGAAAAAAGUCACCUAUUUCAACGAUCUGAGUGAGCUCCAUGAACACCUCAAAUACGACCAGCUGACCAUCCCCCCGGAGGUUCUGCAGUGAGUGAGACCCUGUCCUGGGAGGCGUGGGCUACGCCCUCGAGCUUCCUUGGGCCUCCGUCCCAUCCCGUGCACGCUGAAGGCUUAAUUUUCAGACGUGUGCCCGGCCAGAUCCGGUUCCGAAAUCUGCGGCCUCAACAAAGAUUCACAGUGAAAGAUGCUAACUGCUGACUCAGAGCAACGAGGCUGAGGAUGGCUGUGUACACGGAUGAGAUGCGUUCCUCACCCACCACUGCAAAACUGAUUAACAAAAAAAAAUCAGCCACGGCGGUAACUGCUGUUCGCUGCCUUGGUGUUUACCAUUCUUGUUUUGGAGCAGAGAACGGGGGCGAUUUCUCGGGUGUGUGGAUGACACCGUGGACAGCAUGAAAUGUUCCCAGGCCCAUUGCAGGUGUUCUGGAGGACAGCCCACCUGGUGCUUCUGGCUAGAAGCCUAGUCAACGUGUCUGCUGCUUUGUUUUAUACAGCAGUGGUCCCCCACUUGGACAGGGCAUCAGGUGGGCAGAGGGAGCCCAGGAAGGUGUGUGGUCGGUCCCGGGCCCACCGUUAGCUCCGGGUGGAGCUCAGUCUCUGAGCCCUGCCUGAGCACCCUCUGCCCUUUGCAUCACCCUCUCUGGGGGCUCAAUGGAGCCCCCAGAGAGGGUGCAGGGUCCUCGCCAAGCUGCACGCAGGUGAGGCCGGCAGCCCCGCAGGGGGAGUGGAGAUGUCGCGCUCCCUCUGGGCGCCAAGUCACAGGCGCUGGGGAUAUUAGAGCCGUGUAGGGAGUGUGUCUGCCCACAGGACACUCGCAGGGAGUGGGGCCACGAGUCCGGUGACAGUAGGAGCCGAAAGAGGGGCUGAACCCAGCUAGGGAGGGGACCGGUGAAGAGGGGAUAUCAGGGAAGGCUUCCAUGAGGAGGUGACUUCUGAAGUGAGUUUCAGAGGGACUGUUGGCUAGAUCGAGAGUCCAGGGAAAGGUGUUUCCUGCAGAGGGAAGCUCUUGUGUAGACACGUGGGUGACGUAUUGGCCAGGGGUUGGUAAGAGAGCCUGGACGCUUGACAGAGGUCAGAUGACCCUUGCUGGCUUGUGUGUGUUCCCGUGUGUGCAUGUGCAAGACAGCCAUAAGGCACGUGGGCCCAGAAGGACGGGACACUCAGGUGUCCUGCAGACCUUUGUGGGGCAUCUGCCCCCAGCAGCACCUGGAGCCCCUUGUGGCCCGAGGCUUCUCGCCUGCAGGGUCACAGCUGUGCUUCCUCUGUGUCCACAGAUACGACGAGGAGCUUCGGAACCUGCACGCGGGCAGGCUGCCCCCUCCCACAAAGGCGGCCCUGCCGCGGCCCCUCUGCCCACCCAGCGGUUUGGCGUCAGUCUGCGAUAGUAAGUCAGCCUCCCCGUGGCCUGCCCUUGUUUCCUGGGAGGGUGGGGUGCUUCUGUGUGCCGGGGAGUUCUCUCCAGACCUUGGCCUCUGCAUCCGAGCUUAACCCUGCAGGAAACCUGAAGUGUGAGCUUGGCACUGAGGCCGGAGUGCCCGCCGCUGUGUGUGUCUGUGUGCAGAGGACCCAGCCGUGGGCGGGGAGGGGACGACCCCCAGGCCACGCUGGGAUACCUCCCACCACCUGCCACGUGAAGUGUGGCCACGUGCUUCGCUCUGGCCAAGGAGACAGGAGUGGCCGCGGGGCGGGUCACCUCCUGGAGGGAGCUUCCGGGGCCAGUUCAUAGUUCGCCUCUCGUGGUGACGGAAGCCGGGUGGAGAUGGUGCCUCGCUGGCCUGCGUCCCUGAGUGACCACAGAGUGCCUCCCACUGACACCCACGCUGCGGGAGGGCACGAGUGAGGGGUGGACUUCUGUGGGGUUCAGCUGCCGGGAUUUAGGUACUCUUGUUACCACGGUGUGUCCUACCCUUCCUGCCUGAUCUUACCCUUAUUAGGCCACAUGACCUUGAACUCACUCCCCCUCUCAGCUUGUUUCCUUAUUUCUAAAAUCAGCAAGUUGGAUGAUGUGAUCUUUAAUCUUCUCUCCUUGGAAACGAUUCUGGGCCAACUGUCCAUGCCAACUUUGUCUCUUUUAAGACUCAUCUCACCUCCUCCAGGAAGCCUUCCCUGAUGCUCUAGACUGCAUACAGGGCCCCCCUCUAUCGCAACCCAGAUCUGAGCAGGCUGCUGUGGGGAGUCCCGCCAGCUGCUUUCCCUGCUCAGCGACGAGCCCCUUGUCCUCCUCCUAUUUUCUGCUUCUGGCACCAGGCCAGGUGCUGAGGCACCUGAAAUGAUGGAAGAUGAAGGGGUUGUUUUAACCGUACAACCACCGUUGGGCACUUGGGUCUGAGCUACACGAUGUACAGGACCUGGAGGGUGGAGGAUCCCGGAGAGGCGUGUGCUCAAUUUCAUUUGUUAGUAGCUUCUUGUUAGAAACUUGCAUGUGAUCUGUUUCUACAUAAAAAUCUGAUGAUCUUUAAGACCCAUGUUGGAUUUUUUUUUUUUUUUUUGGUUGCACUGGGUCUUUGAUGCUAUGCGGGGGCUUUCUCUAGUUGCGGCGAGCGGGGGCUGUUCUUCGUUGCGGUG